CGCUUCCCGAUCGCGCCCUCGCAGCGCCGGGGACGCGGCGCUCGCGCUCCCGCCCGAGCCCAGGGAAGCGGAGACAAGGAGGCGCCGCCGCCCCCCUGCUCGCCGCGGCGCCCGGGCCCAAAGCCCGCACCAUGCCGGCCGCCGAGCCGAGCGCCGCCCUCCUCCCGCAGCUCGCGGAGGCGACGACGCUGCCGGCCCCGGACCCGCGGCUGCGAGAGUAGCGGGGCCGGAGUGCGGCACCCAGGCGCCGCGGGGCGGGCGGAGCCGGGAGGAGGAGCAGGCAGGCAUCCUCCGCGGCGCGGCGGGCGGCGGCCCUGCUGCCCUGCGCGCCCAUGGGCCGCGAGGAAGGAGAAUGCGAUCUGCGCUCUCCUCCGGUCGCCGCUGCCGUCCCAGAGCUGCGGGCACCCGGCCGCUGGCUGCGCUAGGACCCACGGCCUCCGGCUGCCGAGGGGCGCUGGGAAGGAAGGAGCGGGAGCCAGAAAGCCCGGGAGACGGGCGCUGGCCGGAGCGCAGCGCGGCAUGCAGCGGCGGGCUCCCGCUCCCGCGUGAGGCUGUCGGCCCCGGGCCCCGCCAUGGCUGGGAAGGACAGUGGCAACCUGAAGACGGUGAGGUUGUGGCGGGACGCCGCCCUGCGCGCCAGGAAACUGCGGAGCAACCUGCGCCAGCUCACGCUCAGCGCGGCCGGAGGCUGCCCAGCUGCUGGAUCCGACCCGCUCGAGUCCCCCGACGCUCCCCAGCUUGUACUGCCGGCCAACAUAGGAGACAUUGAGGUGCUGAACCUGGGGAACAACGGCCUGGAAGAGGUGCCUGAAGGGCUGGGAUCGGCGCUGGGCAGCCUGCGCGUCCUGGUCCUGCGCAGAAACCGCUUUGCCCUGCUGCCCCCGGCCGUGGCCGAGCUCGGCCACCACCUCACCGAGCUGGACGUGAGCCACAACCGGCUGACGACCCUGGGAGCGGAGGUGGUGAGCGCCCUGCGGGAGCUGCGCAAGCUUAACCUCAGCCACAACCAGCUGCCUGCGCUGCCCACCCAGCUGGGCUCCCUCGCCCACCUGGAGGAGCUGGAUGUCAGCUUCAACCGGCUGGCGCAUCUGCCUGACUCCUUCUCGUGCCUCCACCGCCUGCGCACCCUCGACGUGGACCACAACCAGCUCAGCGCCUUCCCCCGGCAGCUGCUGCAGCUGGUCGCCCUAGAGGAGCUGGACGUGUCCAGCAACCGGCUGCGGGGCCUACCUGAGGAUAUCAGUGCCCUGAGUGCCCUCAAGAUCCUGUGGCUGAGCGGGGCCGAGCUGGGCACGCUGCCCAGCGGUUUCUGUGAACUGGCCAGUUUGGAGAGCCUCAUGCUGGACAGCAACGGGCUGCAGGCUCUGCCCGCCCAGUUCAGCCGGCUGCAAAGGCUCAAAAUGCUCAAUCUCUCUUCCAACCUCUUCGAGGAAUUCCCUGCCGCUCUGCUGCCCCUGGCCAGCCUGGAGGAGCUCUACCUGAGUCGUAACCAGCUCACGUCGGUGCCGUCCCUCAUCUCGGGCCUGAGCCGGCUUCUCACUCUCUGGCUGGACAAUAACCGCAUCCGCUACCUGCCUGACUCCAUCGUGGAGCUAACAGGCCUAGAGGAGCUGGUGCUGCAGGGCAACCAGAUCGCGGUGCUGCCGGACAACUUCGGCCAGCUCUCCCGGGUGGGCCUGUGGAAGAUCAAGGACAACCCGCUGAUCCAGCCCCCCUACGAGGUCUGCAUGAAGGGAAUCCCCUACAUUGCCGCCUACCAGAAAGAACUGGCUCACUCCCAGCCUGCUGUGCAGCCUAGGCUCAAGCUGCUCCUGCUGGGCCACAAGGCUGCGGGCAAAAGCUUGCUGCGCCAUUGCCUCACGGAGGAAAGCAUGGAGGAAGUCCAGGGAGCAGGGGACAAGGAGAAGAGCUGCCUACCCUCACCUCCCCCUGGGAGCAAGGGCAUCGAAGUGACCAGCUGGACGGCUGAUGCGUCCAGGGGCCUGCGAUUUAUCGUGUAUGACCUGGCUGGGGACGAGAGCUACGAGGUGAUCCAGCCCUUCUUCCUCUCCCCAGGGGCCCUGUACGUGCUGGUGGUCAACUUGGCCACCUACGAGCCUCGCCGCUUCCCUAGCACCGUGGGCUCCUUCUUGCACCGGGUGGGAGCGCGGGUGCCUCAUGCCGUGGUAUGCAUCGUGGGCACGCACGCAGACUUGUGCGGGGAGCGGGAGCUGGAGGAGAAGUGUCUGGACAUCCACCGCCAGAUCUCUGUGCAGGAGAAACGUGACGCCGAAGGGCUCAGCCGGCUAGCCCGGGUGGUGGACGAGGCGCUGGCCAGGGACUUCGAACUGCGCUCGGCCAGCCCCCAUGCAGCCUACUACGGGGUCUCCGACAAGAACCUCCGACGGCGCAAGGCCCAUUUCCAGUACCUGCUCAACCAUCGGCUACAGAUCCUCUCUCCGGUGUUGCCGGUGAGCUGCAGGGACCCCCGCCAGCUGCAGCGCCUCCGGGACAAGCUGCUGUCAGUGGCCGAGCACCGAGAAAUCUUCCCCAACCUCCAUCGGGUCCUGCCUCGGUCUUGGCAGGUGCUGGAGGAGCUGCAUUUCCAGCCACCUCAGGCCCAGCGACUUUGGCUCAGCUGGUGGGACUCAGCGCGACUGGGCUUGCAGGCGGGACUGACCGAGGACCGGCUACAGAGCGCACUCUCCUACCUGCACGAGAGCGGUAAGCUGCUCUACUUUGAGGACAGCCCGGCCCUCAAGGAACAUGUCUUCCACAACCUCACCCGCCUCAUCGACAUCCUCAAUGUCUUUUUCCAGCGGGACGCCUCCUUGCUGCUGCAUAAACUGCUGCUCGGCACCAGUGGAGAGGGAGAGGCUGAGGUAGAUGGCGCCCCCGCCACAGCGCUCCUCUCCCCAAACCAGGACCUGCUGCGGGCCACCCAGCUCCAUCAUUAUGUGGAGGGCUUUCUGCUCCAUGGGCUCCUGCCAGCCCACGUCAUUCGGUUGCUAUUGAAGCCUCAUGUGCAGGCACAGCAGGAUUUGCAGCUGCUGCUGGAGCUGCUGGAGAAGAUGGGACUCUGUUACUGCCUCAAUAAACCCAAGGGCAAGCCUUUGAAUGGAUCCACAGCCUGGUACAAGUUCCCAUGCUAUGUACAGAAUGAGGUGCCCCAUGCAGAGGCCUGGUUCAACGGGACCAACUUAGCUGGCCAAUCUUUUGUGGCGGAGCAGCUACAGAUCCAGUACAGUUUUCCCUUUACCUUUCCACCUGGCUUGUUUGCACGCUAUAGUGUUCAGAUCAACAGCCACGUGGUACACAGGUCCGAUGGGAAAUUUCAGAUCUUUGCAUACAGGGGCAAAGUUCCCGUGGUGGUGAGUUACAAACCUGCCAAGGGAGUCCUGCAGCCAGACACCCUGUCCAUUGCCAGCCAUGCCUCGUUACCAAAUAUAUGGACCGCGUGGCAGGCCAUCACCCCCUUGCUGGAGGAGCUGAAUGUUCUGCUUCAGGAGUGGCCUGGUCUGCACUACACCGUGCACAUCCUCUGUUCUAAGUGCCUUAAGAGAGGGUCGCCUAAUCCACAUGCUUUCCCAGGGGAGUUGCUGAGCCAGCCCAGACCAGAAGGAGUGGCCGAGAUCAUCUGCCCCAAGAACGGCAGCGAGCGAGUGAAUGUUGCCUUGGUUUACCCACCGACGCCAACCGUGAUCAGCCCCUGUUCCAAGUACCUUCAUACUUUCUUGGAAAAUUAAGUGGAAAAGAUAGUGCUACUUUCCCUUAUGCCACCAUUUUUACUGUGCCCAAUCUGUGACUUUGGGAGCACCUGUUGUGUAAGGGAAGAACGUUGGUGAAAAGCACAGAAACCAGUGACUUUCAUGGCUGUGACAUUUCUGUGGAGCAGAGAGCGCACCAGGACUUCCUGGGACCACCCCACCACCACCACCACCCCUGUUUGGCCCCGGCUGGCCCUCCGCACUCCCAAGCACGUUCUGCUUGAACUUGAAGGAAGCAAUGUUCAGUGUCUGAGAACCCGGAAGAGGUGGGGAGAGGGCAGGGGAAGGAGGGGAGAGAUUAUGGAGCAAAUGUUUUACAACCUGAACCUCAGAACUGUGAUCCUCCAAGGAGAGCACUACUUGAAGACAAGGAAAAAAAAGUCGGACGGCUUCUCAGGGAUUUUGUUUUCCGCGUACAUACAAGCCAUAGGUUCAGUCCGGGUGGCAGUAUUUCGAGCCCUCAGAUUUCAGUUCUGUUCAAUGUGAAAGAAGGAUCGACUGACAUUCAUCGCUGUUCCCGUAAACUAGUGUAAAAUAUGUAUAUGUUUAUCUUUAUUUUUAUAAUAUGCAAAUACAUUUAAAUUUAUACAGUUUGAAGCUUCUAGCGUUAGUUGACACUGGGUGCAAUAUUUUGCAUGAGAACUGUGCCAAACUGGAGCUGAUCUCUUCUUUUUCCCGUGAGACUAAAUUUUUUUUUUCUUUCUUGAUUUGUCAAUCCUCCUUCUCAGAUGUGAAAAACAAAACAGGUGUUUGUCCAGGAGCCCAUGGUUCUAAGCUUGCCGGUAGGCAGCUGGGCCCUUAACUGCGUUUGCAACCAUGGCUUGGUCCCCACCCUGCUUUUCCAUAGUGAUCCCUGCCUGUUAGUCACCAGGCAUGGCACAGGGUGAUUCCUUCCCUUCCUCCAUGUAGUCUGAGUGUCGGGCAAAGCCAGAGGCACCAUAGCAGUUAAAGGCACCCUGAGCCUUGGCCUAACUUAAUGCAAAUCAGGGGUCUGUGACUGGUCAGACCCAGGGGCUCUGUGCUAGUAAGUCCCUGUCUGGACAGUCUGGGAAUCAGCACAGCACUUUCACACUGGCUGGUGGACCCUCCAACAGCGGGCUGGCCAGGUGGAAGGCUGGAUCCCACCUUAAUGGUAAUAACACACAGAGCCUCUCAUUGGACACAGUCUGCUGCCCAGGGCCAGCAAAAUGCUGGAUUUAAAAACCUCCAUAAGGUGCAGCUAGAAAAGCAAACCGGCAAAUCACUUGUUCUCUUUCACCCAGUUGGGGCCAAGCAACAUACACUGUAGUAGUAGCACCUAAACUUUGGAGAACAUAGAAGCCGUAUGUUUCCCUCCGACUCCUCCCCCUGGAAAUCAGACACCAUGGAAAGCCAACCGUUUCUCACCAGUGGCAGGCAAGGAACGAGUCAGCUGGUAUUCCUCUUCCACUUCUUGUACAAAGUGUUGAUUCUUGGAAUGCCACAGCCUACAAAACGCGCUCCGAGAAAUAAACAAGUGGCUGCAUUGCAGGAAAUUACACAUUUGUUUGGUGCAGAAUCUGCUGUGCCCAGCAAGGCCACUGGGCUGGCUCUGGGUCGGCCGGUGGAAUUUAUCUGACUUCCUCCAGCUAGAAAAGAGUCCCACAGAUCAGGUGACACUCGAGUGUCUCCACACUUGAAUGUGGCGUUAAUCAAGUUUAGGGGGUUCAUUUGCUUUUUGUACACAGUCACAACAUAACUCGGGUUGAUCCUUUUGUCACAGUUCUCGUGUGUGUGUAUAUGUGUGUGUGUGUGUGUGUGUGUGUGUGUGUGUGUGUGUGUACUGAAUGGUAACAUUUACUUGCUUCAUGAACUAUUGAAUUGUUGGGCAAUAAGUUUUUUCUUUUUUAAUUGGCAUAAGACAGUUGCCACUGUCCAUUGAACCAACUUUGACCAGUCUUCUACAUGAAAAAUAUUCUGUUAAGUGUAUGAUGUUGGGCUGACACCCCCAAGGGAGAGGGGGGCAUGGAAAAUGAAAGAAGUGCUCCUCAGAGCAACACAUCCCUCCCCCCAAGUGUCUGCUCCUAGUGUGAACAAAGUGCCCACAGUCUUAAUAUCUGAUUUCUGAUAACUGAUGUUUUGUGCCAUCACUGGAACCCUAGAGAAGCAGUGUAGGAGGUAACAUUGGUGUCGCGUGGUUCUAGAAAAAGGGUGGCCCCUGGUGGAGGGUCGUGUAACCACAGAGAAGCCCCAGGAAGGCAGAACU